rnacentral:rRNA from 1 species
GAGGAAUAUUGGUCAAUGGGCGAGAGCCUGAACCAGCCAAGUAGCGUGCAGGAUGACGGCCCUAUGGGUUGUAAACUGCUUUUAUGUGGGAAUAAAGUGGCGCACGUGUGCGCCAUUGCAUGUACCUCAUGAAUAAGGACCGGCUAAUUCCGUGCCAGCAGCCGCGGUAAUACGGAAGGUCCGGGCGUUAUCCGGAUUUAUUGGGUUUAAAGGGAGUGUAGGCGGUCUGUUAAGCGUGUUGUGAAAUGCAGGUGCUCAACGUCUGCACUGCAGCGCGAACUGGUCCACUUGAGUGUGCACAACGCAGGCGGAAUUCGUCGUGUAGCGGUGAAAUGCUUAGAUAUGACGAAGAACUCCGAUUGCGAAGGCAGCUUGCGGGAGCACAACUGACGCUGAAGCUCGAAAGUGCGGGUAUCGAACAGGAUUAGAUACCCUGGUAGUCCGCACGGUAAACGAUGGAUGCCCGUUGUCAGGCUGUUUCAGCCUGGUGACCAAGCGAAAGCAUUAAGCAUCCCACCUGGGGAGUACGCCGGCAACGGUG